rnacentral:rRNA from 1 species
GUGGGGAAUAUUGGACAAUGGGCGCAAGCCUGAUCCAGCCAUGCCGCGUGAGUGAUGAAGGCCCUAGGGUUGUAAAGCUCUUUCACCGGUGAAGAUAAUGACGGUAACCGGAGAAGAAGCCCCGGCUAACUUCGUGCCAGCAGCCGCGGUAAUACGAAGGGGGCUAGCGUUGUUCGGAAUUACUGGGCGUAAAGCGCACGUAGGCGGAUUGUUAAGUGAGGGGUGAAAUCCCAGGGCUCAACCCUGGAACUGCCUUUCAUACUGGCAAUCUAGAGUCCAGAAGAGGUGAGUGGAAUUCCGAGUGUAGAGGUGAAAUUCGUAGAUAUUCGGAGGAACACCAGUGGCGAAGGCGGCUCACUGGUCUGGAACUGACGCUGAGGUGCGAAAGCGUGGGGAGCAAACAGG